rnacentral:lncRNA from 1 species
AAAAAUAUGGCUGAUACUCUCAAGUUUAUUUUUACAAUGAUUCUAUUUUUUUUAUUAUUUCUUGUUCCAAUGAAAGCAAGUGGUGGUAAACCAUUUUCUCAUCCAUUUAAAGGUAAGACAUUUUCUCAUUCUUUCAAAUUUCCAUUUUUAUUUUGUAAUUCAUAAACAACCUUUUAUCGUAUUUUAGUAAUAUUAUUUUAUUAUUCUUUUUCGUUACAGCAUAUAUUGAUUGUAAAACCAAUGAAGAUUGUCCAGAAAGUGUGAACGAACAUUAUACUAUUAUUUGCAUUGAUUACAAAUGUGAAACAAUUCGAAUUCCUCCAACAUCGGGCCUAAUCUGGUAAAAAACAAAGGUACUCGUACUCUUAGAAUGAUUUUUUUUUUUUUUAGUAGACACUCUUAGAAUGAUUUAUUGUCGUAGAGAAGAGAUGUGCGAUAUUGUUAAAAAAAAAAAGAAAAAGAAGAGAUGUGCAAUAAAUAGUGGCCAAUUUAGACCAAAAUAUUAUAUCCAGGGGAGGCCGUGGAAAAAGAUUAAAUUAUAUUGGUGUAAUUUGUUAUUAAUAUUAUAUUGUUUAACGUUUUAAUGAAUACAAAUUUUAUUUAAAGAAUACAAAUUUUAUAAAAUUCACUGUUAAUAAAUUAACAAUGUGUAUUAUAUAGAUCACCCAUAAUUUUUUUUAAAAAAAAUAAAAAAAUAAAAUAAAACUCACUUGGGUUGGUGCAUUGGUAUUGGCUUGGGACCUGAGAGUGUGCUCCUCUUGAGGUCUGAGAUUCGAUUCUCUCUGACGCCAAUUUGGGUGGCUAAUUUAGCUUUUUCAAUUUUUUUUUUUAAAUAGGCUUAACUACACAUUUGGUCCCUUACGUUUAUUUUAGGUUUCAAUUUGGUCCCUUAUGUUUAAAAAAUAUCAAUUUGGUCCCUUACGUUUAUUUUAGGUUUCAAGUUAGUCCUUUCCGUUAGUUUUGUCACUAACACCGUUUGAACAGUACACGUGUCAGUGUGUCCAUGUGCCACAUGUCAGUCCACAUAUGCAAAUUGGCUGCCACAUGUGAUAAAAUUGACGGAAAUGACUAACUCGAAACCUAAAAUAAACGUAAGGGACCAAAUUGA